rnacentral:rRNA from 1 species
UCCGUAGGUGAACCUGCGGAAGGAUCAUUAAUGAAAUUCUAGGACGCUCUUUUUAGAGGUCCGACAAAAUCAUUCCUUUCUACACUGUGCACACACUACCUUUUUUACACCCAAUUUUUUUAACACCUUAGUAUUAAGAAUGUAAAUCAGUCUCUUAAUUGAGCAUCAAACAAAUAAAACUUUCAGCAACGGAUCUCUUGGCUCUCGCAUCGAUGAAGAACGCAGCGAAAUGCGAUACGUAAUGUGAAUUGCAGAAUUCAGUGAAUCAUCGAAUCUUUGAACGCACCUUGCACUCUUUGGUAUUCCGAAGAGUAUGUCUGUUUGAGUGUCAUGAAACUCUCAACCCCACUAUUUUGUAAUGAAAUAGGUCGUGGGCUUGGUUUAUGGUUGUUGCUGGCUUUACCGUCAGCUCGACUGAAAUAUACGAGCUACCCAAUUCAACUUUGAAUUAGACGGUUUGACUCGGCGUAAUAAUCUAUUUCGCUGAGGACGUCUUCAUCAAAUUUAAUGAUAGUGGUGCUUCUAACGCAUUAGCAAUUUAAGCUUUAGACCUCAAAUCAGUCAGGACUACCCGCUGAACUUAAGCAUAUCAAUAAGCGGAGGA